GGUCUUGAUUCCUGUGCCACAGUUAAUCAGAGCAGCAAUUAGCAAAGAUCUGAAUGUGUGGCUUAAGUGAAGAUUUCAAAAGUGAAACUCCACAAUCCUAAUUUCUUUAUUUUGCUUAUUCUCUAAGCCCUCUCAAGGAAUUUAAAGGUUACAAUUUUUCAGGCUGUGCUACAUUUGUUAAAUAUUUUGUAAUGUGCCAUAUAACUGUGUGCUAUUGUGAUGUGUGCUUCUCACAAGUCACAGUUUUAAAUGUGAUGGUCAUUUUAUUCUUGCCCACCCAGGGAAAUAAGGACAGCAUCAUUUCCCUCAAAAACAUCCAGGAGGGAGGUAGUUUUACACUUCAGAUGCCCUAACUGCACUAAAGGCCCAGAGCCUCAAACGACAGUGUGUUCUUCUCCUGCGGACAGCUGAUUUUGCCACAACAGUUCCAUGUCAACAUUCCAAACAUAGCACUGGGUAGCACACCUGUGAUGGGGAGGGGCCAUAACUAGGGGCAGACAGGAGAGCCAAGGCACAGCGUGCACUUGACGCCUAGUUGGCAGUGUCCCUCACAUGCUGCAGCCUCAGUUGCCUCAUUUGUAAAAAUCUUUCAAGCAGAUCUUCACUAAAUUC
rnacentral:lncRNA from 1 species